GAUGAACGCUAGCGGGAGGCCUAACACAUGCAAGCCGAGCGGUAUUGUUUCUUCGGACAUGAGAGAGCGGCGUACGGGUGCGUAACACGUGUGCAACCUGCCUUUAUCUGGGGGAUAGCCUUUCGAAAGGAAGAUUAAUACUCCAUAAUAUAUUGAACGGCAUCGUUUAAUAUUGAAAGCUCCGGCGGAUAGAGAUGGGCACGCGCAAGAGUAGCUAGUUGGUGAGGUAACGGCUCACCAAGGCGAUGAUCUUUAGGGGGCCUGAGAGGGUGAGCCCCCACACUGGUACGGAGACACGGACCAGACGCCUACGGGAGGCAGCAGUGAGGAAUAUUGGUCAAUGGGUGCAAGCCUGAACCAGCCAGCCCGCGUGAAGGACGACGGCCCUAUGGGUUGUAAACUUCUUUUGUAUAGGGAUAAACCUACCCUCGAGAGGGUAGCGGAGGGUACUAUACGAAUAAGCACCGGCUACCUCCGU
rnacentral:rRNA from 1 species